rnacentral:lncRNA from 1 species
UCAAAUAAGUCCUCAUUACAAUUAUUCAUACACUAUUUUACAGAAAUAGUGAGGACUGCUAAAACAUCUUUCUAGAACCAUCACUCCAUACCCCAACUAAAUCCUGCUAUGUUCUCACCUCCUGAGAAGAAAAAUAGAACAAAAAGGAAAAGGGUGAGCUCAACUAGCCCAGUAAAGAAUAUUAUGACUAAGAUAAUAUACAACAAAUUAUCAUUAGUCUUCAACAGGGAAAAAUCUGAUAAAAUAUAAUAGACAACAAGUUUUAGAUCAACAACUGCAGCGGAAACAACAAUCCAUUAGAAGAGUCACGUAGAGAAUGAAUUCUACUAUCUUCUAAGAUUUAAAAGUUCAUCAUCAAUAUUUUAUCCCUGUAACAACAAUCAAUAUGCAUCUUUAAUCAAAUAUUCAUCUUUGCACUAAGGCCAAAGAUAUUCAUUUGUAUCACCAGUUGGUCAUGUUCAUCUCAACACCUGUUCAUCUUUGCACUACCGGCCAAAGAUAUUCAUCAGUUAAUCAUUCAUCUUUGCACUACAGGCCAUAUUCAGUAAUAUCAUCAUUUAAGACUGAGGAUGAUAAAAAAUAUUUUAAAAAAAAAGAAUCCAGUGAGACAGAAGGACGAGUAUUAGAGAUUCGUAUUACAGUUUAUCCAAGAUCAAUAAUACUCCAUAAUAACCAAUUUUGAAGCAAAAUUCAAAAAUAAAGAUCAAAACAUGGAUACAAUCAAAGAUAGUAACCAUAAUAGACAUCUUGGACAAAAAGGAAAAUUUUUAAUUUUUAGUGAAUAGUACCGUAUUCGUGAAUAGUAUCGUAUACGUGAAUAGUGUCUUAUACGUGAAGAGUAACCCCGACACAAAAGUUCCAAAUUUGAUUAAAAAGUUCAAACCAAUAUAUCGGCAUAAUGAUAUUGAAGAAAAUAAUAUAAUUUAAGAAGAAAAUAGCAUCCCUUACCUCAACAUAACGGUACUUCUAAUCGGAAUAUCGGAUAGAAAGCCGAAGGAAACUUGUACCGAACAGCAACUCUCAAAGUAUCUAAAUACUCACAAAAAUAAGCUCGACAAUAUAGAGAGAAAGACAACUUAUUUUUGGUGUGAAAGAAAACUAAACCCUAAACCCUAAACCCUAGACCCUAGACCCAAAACCCAAAACCCUAGACCCUAGACCCUAGACCCUAGACCCUAGACCCUAAACCCUAAACCCUAAACCCUAAACCCUAAACCCUGAGUGUCUAUUUAUAGGAAAAUACUAGAACGUCAUAGGAGACUAAAAUAAUAAAAUAAUAGUAUUUCUUUUUAAAUCAACUACGCCACCCACCAUUUUGAGUCAAGCAUGCCUUCUUGGACAAAAAUCAGCAGCCCAUGUGUAUUCAACACCAACCAAAAUGUGGGUCCCACCCAUAAUUUAAUAAUAUCAUUUUUUUUUUUGAAACUUUAGUAAUUCAUAGAAAAUAGCCCAUUUAUCAGAAAAAUACGAAUUUUAUGUCCAUUCCACACGAAAUUGAAUUCUCUACAACUUUGUAGCUUUGAGUUUUUCCAAAGUCCAAACAAAAAAUAUCCAAAACCCACAAACAGAUGAUUUUUAAUACCUCCACUCCGAUAAAAUACUGAUAAAACACCUCAGCAUUAAUUCCUUCAUUUAUAACCACAUAAAUAAAUAAAUCCAUCAUUUAUAUCCACAUCAAAUAAAUAUUUCCUUAUCAUAUAAAUCAAUAAUUAAUUAUUCACAAAUAAUAUUACUGAAUCACAAUUAUGACAACCAGGCAGUUCCCAGGAAAGAAGAGGCUUUCCAAUAAGGAUUUCUCCUUACUGGUGUGCAAUUAGGUGACCAAACCUCUCCUUGACAGAACUUUCUAGACAACGCCAAUAAUGCUAAUUAAUAAUAUUAUUCAAAUAAUAUUAAUUAUUGAUCUGAUAAUGGGAAAUACUGUGCAGUGACAAUUAUUGAAACAACAAUAAUAUAAACUAUCAACGCAACAAUUAUUGAAUCAAUAAAAUAAAAUAUUGAACAGUAACUACUGUAAUAAUUAUUUAGUAGUGCAUUCUUAUGUACGAAUCAAUAAUUCAAUAAUACUGUGCAAUACCGUGUGCUACUGUGCAACCACGCGUAUUACUGUAUUUUAACCACCAGGUAUUCCAACAGUGUUAACAGUAACAACUACGCCGUUAUUUAUUAAACUCAUACUUUGUCGUUUUCCUUCAUCCAACUGUUUUCCGUUAUGGGGCCCACCAAUGGUGCGCCGUCGUACGAAUAUUCCCCGACAAAAAGAAUAUUCCACGACCAAACGAAUAUUCCCCGACAUAAAUGAAUAUUUUAUAACCACUUGCUUAUUUUGCAAAAUUUUCACAUUUCACCCAUAACCAAAGCAUUAUAUCAAAUUAACACCUUAUUAAUUUAGAAUAAUGAAUAUUGGAAAAAUUCAAUUUUAUUUAUAAUAAGUUAGGGUCUUACAACCUCCCCUCCUUAUAAAAUUUCGUCCUCGUAAUUAACGUACGUACAUAGUGUUUCAAAAAGGUGAGGGUACCUCGCUUUCAUUUUUGAUUCCAACUCCCAGGUCAUUUUCUCAAUAGCAUGGUUCCUCCACAAAACCUUAACUUGUGGUAUAACCUUUGUGCAUAGGACAUGCUUUUUUCUAUCCAAGGUCUUAACAAGUACCUCCUCGUAUGUUAAAUCUUCGACUAUCUCGUCUGGUUCCAACUCAAUAAUGUGGUUCGAGUCUUUCACAUAUUUACGAAGCAUAGAUAUGUUUGGAGGUAAUGUGAUUCUAUAGGCCACAUUUCCUAUUCGGUCGAGAAUCUCAAAUGGACCAACAAAUCUUGGAUUGAGCUUUCCUCUCUUCCCAAAUCUUGUAACUCCCUUCCAUGGAGCAACACGUAGAUAUUGAAGAAAAUAAUAUCAUUUAAGAAGAAAAUAACAUCCCUUACCUCAAAAUAAUGGUACUUCUAAUCGGAAUAUCGGAUAGAAAGCCGAAGGAAACUUGUACCGAACAGCAACUCUCAAAGUAUCUAAAUACUCACAAAAAUAUGCUCGACAAUAUAGAGAGAAAGAAAUCUUAUUUUUGGUGUGAAAGAAAACUAAACCCUAGACCCUAAACCCUAAACCCUAAAUCCUAAAUCCUAAAUCCUAAGUCCUAAACCAUAAAUCCUAAACCCUAGACCCUAAACCCUAAACCCUAGACCCUAGACCCUAAAACCUAAAUCCUAAGCGUCUAUUUAUAGAAAAAUGCUAGAACGCCAUAGGAGACUAAAAUAAUAAAAUAAUAAUAUUUCUUUUUAAAUCAUCUACGCCACCCACCAUUUUGAGUCAAGCAUGCCUUCUUGGACAAAAAUCAGCAGCCCAUGUGUAUUCAACACCAACCAAAAUGUGGGUCCCACCCAUAAUUUAAUAAAUAUCAUUUUAUUUUUUGAAACUUCAGUAAUUCAUAGAAAAUAGCCCAUUUAUCAGAAAAAUACGAAUUUUAUGUCCAUUCCACACGAAAUUGAAUUCUCUACAACUUUGUAGCUUUGAGUUUUUCCAAAGUCCAAACAAAAAAUAUCCAAAACCCACAAACGUAUAAUUUUUAAUACCUCCACUCCGAUAAAAUACUGAUAAAACACCUCAGCAUUAAUUCCUUCAUUUAUAACCACAUAAAUAAAUAAAUCCAUCAUUUAUAUCUACAUCAAAUAAAUAUUUCCUUAUCAUAUAAAUCAAUAAUUAAUUAUUCACAAAUAAUAUUACAGAAUCACAAUUAUGACAACCAGGCCGUUCCCAGGAAAGAGGGGGCUUUCCAAUAAGGAUUUCUCCUUACUGGCGCGCAAUUAGGUGACCAAACCUCUCCUUGACAGAACUUUCUAGACAUUGCCAAUAAUGCUAUCUAAUAAUAUUAUUCAAAUAAUAUGAAUUAUUGAUCUGAUAAUGGGAAAUACUGUGCAGUGACAAUUAUUGAAACAACAAUAAUAUAAAAUAUCAACGCAGCAAUUAUUGAAUCAAUAAAAUAAAAUAUUAAACAGUAACUACUGUAACAAUUAUUGAGUAGUGCCUUCUGACGUACGAAUCAAUAAUUCAACAAUACUGUGCAAUACCGUGUGCUACUGUGCAACCACGCAUAUUACUGUAUUUUAACCACCAGGUAUUCCAACAGUGUUAACAGUAACAACUGCGCCGUUAUUUAUUAAACUCAUACUUUUUCGUUUUCCUUCAUCCAACUGUUUUUCGUUAUGUGGCCCACAAAUGGUUGCACCGUCGUACGAAUAUUCCACGAACAAAAAGAAUAUUCCACGACCAAGCGAAUAUUCCCCGACAGAAAUGAAUAUUUUAUAACCACUUGCUUAUUUUGCAAAAUUUUCACAUUUCACCCAUAACCAAAGCAUUAUAUCAAAUUAACACCUUAUUAAUUUAGAAUAAUGAAUAUAGGAAAAUUUCAAUUUUAUUUAUAAUAAGUUAGGGUCUUACAACCUCCCCUCCUUAUAAAAUUUCGUCCUCGAAAUUAACGUACGUACAUAGUGUUUCAAAAAGGUGAGGGUACCUCGCUUUCAUUUUUGAUUUCAACUCCCAGGUCAUUUUCUCAAUAGCAUGGUUCCUCCACAAAACCUUAACUUGUGGUAUAACCUUUGUGCAUAGGACAUGCUUUUUUCUAUCCAAGAUCUUAACAAGUACCUCCUCGUAUGUUAAAUCUUCGACUAUGUCGUCUGGUUCCAGCUCAAUAAUGUGGUUCGAGUCUUUCACAUAUUUACGAAUCAUAGAUAUGUGAAAAACAUUAUGAACACGAGAUAUGUUUGGAGGUAAUGCGAUUCUAUAGGCCACAUUUCCUAUUCGGUCGAGAAUCUCAAAUGGACCAACAAAUCUUGGAUUGAGCUUUCCUCUCUUCCUAAAUCUUGUAACUCCCUUCCAUGGAGCAACACGUAACAAUACAUGAUCCCCAAUAUUAAAUUCUACAUCCUUUCGAUGAAGAUCAACAUAACUCUUUUGUCGAUCUUGUGAGGUUUAAAUACGUUGUCGAAUCAUUUAGAUCUUUUCUGUAGUCAUGCGUACUAAUUCUGGUCCCUACAACGUUGCUUCUCCCACCUCGUCCCAGCAUACUAGAGAGCGACACUUUCGUCCAUACAAUGCCUCGAAUGGAGCCAUGCCUAUACUUGCUUGAUAACUGUUGUUGUAGGAGAAUUCCACCAGUGGCAAGUACUUAUCCCAACUUCCUUUGAAAUCUAGGACACAGAGUCUUAAUAGAUCUUCAAGGGUUUGAAUAGUCCUUUUCGAUUGCCCGUCCAUUUGAGGAUGGUAUGCUGAACUGAAUCGUAAAUUUGUGCAAAUAGCUUUCUGCAAGCUAACCCAAAAUCUUGAAGUGAAUCUUGGGUCACGAUCCGAAACUAUGGAUACUAGCAUGCCAUGCAAUCUCACAAUCUCAUUCACGUACAUACGAGCAAGACGUUCAAGGGAAUAAGUCUCACGUAUCAGCAAGAAAUGAGCAGACUUGGUUAAUCUAUCAAUAAUAACCCAAAUCGCAUCUAAGCCUUGAGAAACUUUGGGAAGACCUGUAACAAAAUCCAUGGUAAUGUGUUCCCACUUCUAUUUUGAAUUCUCAAGUGGUUACAAUGGACCCUUUGGCACUUGAUGCUCAACCUUUACACGUUGACAGAUUAAACACCUCGAGAUAAACUUCGUGAUCUCUCUCUUCAUAUUGUUCCACCAAAAUGUAUGUCGAUGAUCAUGAUACAUUUUGGUAGUCCCAGGAUGGAUUGCAAACGGGGUGUUGUGUGCCUCCAUCAUGAUUCUAUGCUUCAAGUCAGAAUUGUUAAGAACGCAAAGUCUAGAGUUGACUCGAAGUAUUCCUUCUUCAUCGAUUCUUUCUUCUGGAAUAGCACCUUCUUUCACUUUCUUCUUCAUACGCAUCAGCCCCAGGUCUGUAGCUUGAGCCACUUUAACUUUAUCGAUUAAAGUCGGUUCUACUCGUAUAUUCCCCAUCAUCACGUGGGUCCCUGGAGUCUUUAACUCUAUCUGCAUCCUUUGCAAAUCAUACAAAAUGGGCCUUUGCGUUGACAAUAUCGCACUCGUACUUGCACAUGAUCUUCUACUCAAUGCGUCAGCUACUACGUUUGCUUUUCCAGGAAGAUAUUGAAUAGUGUGAUCAUAAUCUUUGAACAGCUCAAGCCAACAUCGUUGCCGCAUGUUGAGUUCUUUUUAGGUGAAGAAAUAUUUGAGGCUUUUAUGGUCCGUAUAAAUAUCCACUUUCUCCGCAUACAAGUAGUGUCUCCAUAUCUUCAACGCAAAAACGACUGCUGCCAACUCAAGAUCAUGAGUAGGAAAAUAGCUCUCAUAUUCUUUGAGUUGUCGCGAGGCAUAGGCUAUGAUUUUCCCAUGUUGCAUGAGAACACAUUCUAACCCUUUGCCUGAAGCAUCGCUAUAGAUAACAAAUCCAUCCGAACCAGAUGGUAUUGCCAGAACAGGUGCCAAAAUGAGUCUCCUCUUGAGCUCUUGGAAACUCUUCUCGCAUUCUUCGCUCCAUACGAAUUUUGUAUCUUUCUGAGUCAGCUGAGUUAACGGAGUAGCGAUUCGAGAAAAUCCUUUCACAAAUCUUCGAUAAUAACCAGCUUAAGCCCAGAAAGCUGCGUACUUCGGUCACCGACUUCGGUUGCUCCUCACUUUGUAUUGCUUCAAUCUUCGCCGGGUCAACAGAUACUCUAUGUUUUGACACCACGUGCCCAAGGAAUGCUACUUCCUCAAGCCAUAACUCGCAUUUCUUCAGCUUGGCAUAUAGCUUGUUUUUACGAAGCCUUUCAAGUAUUAGCUUCAAAUGGUGUUCAUGAUCUUCACGACUUUUGGAAUAGAUGAGGAUGUCAUCAAUAAAGACAACAACGAAUUGAUCCAAAUAUUCCUUGAAUACUCGGUUCAUCAUAUCCAUGAAAGCAGCAGGAGCAUUAGUUAAUCCAAAAGACAUGACUAAGAAUUCAUAAUGCCCGUACCGAGUUCUGAAGGCAGUCUUUGGAAUAUCCUCAGUUUUAAUCUUCAGCUGAUGAUAUCCAGAACGAAGAUCGAUCUUUGAAAAGAAUUGUGCUCCUUGCAACUGGUCAAACAGGUCAUCAAUGCGAGGUAGCGGAUACCUAUUCUUGAUGGUGACAUGGUUCAAUUCUCGGUAGUCAAUACAAAGUCGCAUACUCCCGUCUUUCUUCUUUACGAAUAAAACAGGAGCACCCCAAGGAGACGUACUAGGACGAAUGAAACCGAUGUCUAAUAACUCCUGUAGUUGGACUUUUAACUCCUGAAGUUCAAUAGGAGCCAUUCGAUAUGGGGUUUUAGAAAUGGGCUUUGUACCCGGUUCAAGGUCAAUAAAGAAUUCAACAUCACGUUCUGGGGGUAGACCGGGAAGCUCUUCAGGAAAUACAUCAGGGAAUUCUCUAACCACAGAAAUAUUAUUCAAAUCUGACUUGUCUUUAUUCAAAUCCAUAACAUGGGCUAAGAAAGCUUGACAUCCGUUUUUCAAUAAACGAAUAGCUUUGUGGCUUGAUAUGACGGUGACUAAUUUUAGUGGUUUAGUUGUUUGAAUUCGUAUGACGGGUUGGUUAGGUAUAUGAAAACUAACAACCUUACAAAAACAAUCAAUUUUGGCAUGAUGAGUGAUUAACCAAUCAAUCCCUAAAAUCACAUCAAAAGCAAUUAUCUUUAAAGAGAUAAGAUCAACAAGUAAUGUGAUAGUGCCAACUUGGAUUAAGCAAGAUUAAUAAACUGUAGAUGUAACGAAGGUUUCACCUAAUGGAGUUUCAACAGAUAAGUUAAAGUCCAAUUUCUCCGAAGUCAAGUUUAAACGUUGAGCAUAAGCAGGAGAGAUAAAAGAAUGGGUAGAACCGGUAUCUAGUAAGGUAUAAACUUCGCAAGAAUUCAAGAUUAGCUUACCCGUGAUCACCUCGUUCGGGUUCCUCAUGUUUUGGCCAGUCACGACAAACGCUCUUCCAGGAACCGCUGAUUUUGACUUAUCCGGGACAGCCCUUGGAGUCACCAUCCUCGCUGAACUUGGUUUUGCUACAGAAUAAUCCCGAGCUAUGUGACAUUCCUUUCCAUAGUUAUAACAUACCUUGGAUUUUUGUGGACAAUUUGGGCUGAUAUGUCCCUCUUUCCCGCAUUUGUAACAUCUAACUGGCGGUCUUUCUCCUCCCCUAGAAUUUGUUGUUGGUGCUGGUGCUGCUGCUGAUGUCUUCUCGUCAUUGUUGAAUCUCCUAUUUCUGAAAUUUCCACUUGACUCACCUCUCCUAUUAUCAUGGCCAUAAUUACCACUCGAGUGGUUACCGUCUUUGUCCGUAUUUUUCCCUCCUCGCAGGUUAUCAUUGCUCUGACUGCCGUCACCGGUAUGACCCUGGUUAUGGUCCCUCGGUUGAGUAUACUCAUUAUCUCGCUCUAAUAAUUGAGCCCUAUUGACAACAUCUGAAUACAGAGAAAAUUUAUGAGAGAUAAGGUAUUGAUGAAUCUUGGGUUUUAGACCUCUCAGAAACAUCCGCGUCAUACGUUCCUCAUUCUCCACCAAAUGAGGUGAAAACCUGCAUAACUCCGCGAACUUCACCUCGUAUUGAGACACCGUCAUGUUGUUCUGUUCCAGUCUAAUAAACUCUACCUCCUUCAUAUGAUGAAUACUUUCAGGAAAAUACUUGUCAUUGAACAUUUUCUGAAAUCUUUCCCAAGACAUGUUAAGUGCGGCUGGCUGGGUAUGCUUCACAGAUUCCCACCAAUAAUCUGCCUCACUACGGAAAAUAAAGGUGGCGAAUGGAACCCCGACACAAAAGUUCCAAAUUUGAUUAAAAAGUUCAAACCAAUAUUUCGGCAUAAUGAUAUUGAAGAAAAUAAUAUCAUGUAAGAAGAAAAUAACAUCCCUUACCUCAAAAUAAUGGUACUUCUAAUCGGAAUAUCGGAUAGAAAGCCGAAGGAAACUUGUACCGAACAGCAACUCUCAAAGUAUCUAAAUACUCACAAAAAUACGCUCGACAAUAUAGAGAGAAAGAAAACUUAUUUAUGGUGUGAAGGAAAACUAAACCCUAAACCCUAGACCCUAGACCCUAGACCCUAAACCCUAAACCCUAAGUGUCUAUUUAUAGGAAAAUGCUAGAACGCCAUAGGAGACUAAAAUAAUAAAAUAAUAAUAUUUCUUUUUAAAUCAUCUGCGCCACCCACCAUUUUGAGUCAAGCAUGCCUUCUUGGACAAAAAUCAGCAGCCCAUGUGUAUUCAACACCAACCAAAAUGUGGGUCCCACCCAUAAUUUAAUAAUAUCAUUUUUUUUUUUGAAACUUUAGUAAUUCAUAGAAAAUAGCCCAUUUAUCAGAAAAAUACGAAUUUUAUGUCCAUUCCACACGAAAUUGAAUUCUCUACAACUUUGUAGCUUUGAGUUUUUCUAAUGUCCAAACAAAAAAUAUCCGAAACCCACAAACGGAUGAUUUUUAAUACCUCCACUCCGACAAAAUACUGAUAAAACACCUCAACAUUAAUUCCUUCAUGUAUAAGUACAUAAAUAAAUAAAUCCAUCAUUUAUAUCCACAUCAAAUAAAUAUUUUCUUAUCAUAUAAAUCAAUAAUUAAUUAUUCACAAAUAAUAUUACUGAAUCACAAUUAUGACAACCAGGCAGUUCCCAGGAAAGAGGGGGCUUUCCAAUAAGGAUUUCUCCUUACUGGCGUGCAAUUAGGUGACCAAACCUCUCCUUGACAAAACUUUCUAGACAUUGCCAAUAAUGCUAAUUAAUAAUAUUAUUCAAAUAAUAUUAAUUAUUGAUCUGAUAAUGGGAAAUAUUGUGCAGUGACAAUUAUUGAAACAACAAUAAUAUAAACUAUCAACGCAACAAUUAUUGAAUCAAUAAAAUAAAAUAUUGAACAGUAAUUACUGUAACAAUUAUUGAGUAGUGCCUUCUUACGUACCAAUCAAUAAUUCAACAAUACUGUGCAAUACCGUGUGCUACUGUGCAACCACGCAUAUUACUGUAUUUUAACCACCAGGUAUUCCAACAGUGUUAACAGUAACAACUACGCCGUUAUUUAUUAAACUCAUACUUUAUCGUUUUCCUUCAUCCAACUGUUUUUCGUUAUGUGGCCCACAAAUGGUUGCACCGUCGUACGAAUAUUCCACGACAAAAAGAAUAUUCCACGACCAAACAAAUAUUCCCCGACAGAAAUGAAUAUUUUUUAACCACUUGCUUAAUUUGCAAAAUUUUCACAUUUCACCCAUAACCAAAGCAUUAUAUCAAAUUAACACCUUAAUAACUUAGAAUAAUGAAUAUAGGAAAAUUUCAAUUUUAUUUAUAAUAAGUUAGGGUCUUUCAACCUCCCCUCCUUAUAAAAUUUCGUCCUCGAAAUUAACGUACGUACAUGGUGUUUCAAAAAGGUGAGGGUACCUCGCUUUCAUUUUUGAUUUCAACUCCCAGGUAAUUUUCUCAAUAGCAUGGUUCCUCCACAAAACCUUAACUUGUGGUAUAACCUUUGUGCAUAGGACAUGCUUUUUUCUAUCCAAGAUCUUAACAAGUACCUCCUCGUAUAUUAAAUCUUCGACUAUCUCAUCUGGUUCCAACUCAAUAAUAUGGUUCGAGUCUUUCACAUAUUUACGAAUCAUAGAUAUAUGAAAAACAUUAUGAACACGAGAUAUGUUUGGAGGUAAUGCGAUUCGAUAGGCCACAUUUCCUAUUCGGUCGAGAAUCUCAAAUGGACCAACAAAUCAUGGAUUGAGCUUUCCUCUCUUCCUAAAUUUUGUAACUCCCUUCCAUGGAGCAACACGUAACAAUACAUGAUCCCCAAUAUUAAAUUCUACAUCCUUUCGAUGAAGGUCAACAUAACUCUUUUGUCGAUCUUGUGAGGUUUAAAUACGUUGUCGAAUCAUUUAGAUCUUUUCUGUAGUCAUGCGUACUAAUUCUGGUCCCUACAACGCUGCUUCUCCCACCUCGUCCCAGCAUACUAGAGAGCGACACUUUCGUCCAUACAAUGCCUCGAAUGGAGCCAUUCCUAUAUUUGCUUGAUAACUGUUGUUGUAGGAGAAUUCCACCAGUGGCAAGUACUUAUCCCAACUUCCUUUGAAAUCUAGGACACAGAGUCUUAAUAGAUCUUCAAGGGUUUGAAUACUCCUUUUCGAUUGCCCGUCCAUUUGAGGAUGGUAUGCUGAACUGAAUCGUAAAUUUGUGCAAAUAGCUUUCUGCAAGCUAACCCAAAAUCUUGAAGUGAAUCUUGGGUCACGAUCCGAAACUAUGGAUACUAGCAUGCCAUGCAAUCUCACAAUCUCAUUCACGUACAUACGAGCAAGACGUUCAAGGGAAUAAGUCUCACGUAUCAGCAAGAAAUGAGCAGACUUGGUUAAUCUAUCAAUAAUAACCCAAAUCGCAUCUAAGCCUUGAGAAACUUUGGGAAGACCUGUAACGAAAUUCAUGGAAAUGUGUUCCCACUUCCAUUUAGAAUUCUCAAGUGGUUGCAAUGGACCCUUUGGCACUUGAUGCUCCACCUUUACACGUUGACAGGUUAAACACCUCGAGAUAAACUCCGUGAUCACUCUCUUCAUAUUGUUCCACCAAAAUGUAUUUCGAAGAUCAUGAUACAUUUUGGUAGUCCCAGGAUGGAUUGCAAACGGGGUGUUGUGUGCCUCCAUCAUGAUUCUAUGCUUCAAGUCAGAACUGUUAAGAACGCAAAGUCUAGAGUUUACUCGAAGUAUUCCUUCUUCAUCGAUUCUUUCUUCUGGAAUAGGACCUUCUUGCACUUUCUUCUUCAUACGCAUCAGCCCCAGGUCCGUAGCUUGAGCCACUUUAACUUUAUCGAUUAAAGUUGGUUCUACUCGUAUAUUCCCCAUCAUCACGUGGGUCCCUGGAGUCUUUAACUCUAUCUGCAUCCUUUGCAAGUCAUACAAAAUGGGCCUUUGCGUUGACAAUAUCGCACUCGUACUUGCACAUGAUCUUCUACUCAAUGCGUCAGCUACUACGUUUGCUUUUUCAGGAUGAUAUUGAAUAGUGUGAUCAUAAUCUUUGAACAGCUCAAGCCAACAUCGUUGCCGCAUGUUGAGUUCUUUUUAGGUGAAGAAAUAUUUGAGGCUUUUAUGGUCCGUAUAAAUAUCCACUUUCUCCACAUACAAGUAGUGUCUCCAUAUCUUCAACGCAAAAACGACUGCUGCUAACUCAAGAUCAUGAGUAGGAUAAUAGCUCUCAUAUUCUUUGAGUUGUCGCGAGGCAUAGGCUAUGAUUUUCCCAUGUUGUAGGAGAACACAUUCUAACCCUUUGCCUGAAGCAUCGCUAUAGAUAUCAAAUCCAUCCGAACCAGAUGGUAUUGCCAGAACAGGUGCCAAAAUGAGUCUCAUCUUGAGCUCUUGGAAACUCUUCUCGCAUUCUUCGCUCCAUACGAAUUUUGUAUCUUUCUGAGUCAGCUGAGUUAACGGAGUAGCAAUUCGAGAAAAUCCUUUCACAAAUCUUCGAUAAUAACCAACUUAAGCCCAGAAAGCUGCGUACUUCGGUCACCGACUUCGGUUGCUCCUCAUUUUGUAUUGCUUCAAUCUUCGCCGGGUCAACAGAUACUCUAUGUUUUGACACCAUGUGCCCAAGGAAUGCUACUUCCUCAAGCCAGAACUCGCAUUUCUUCAGCUUGGCAUAUAGCUUGUUUUCACGAAGCCUUUCAAGUAUUAGCUUCAAAUGGUGCUCAUGAUCUUCACGACUUUUGGAAUAGAUGAGGAUGUCAUCAAUAAAGACAACAACGAAUUGAUCCAAAUAUUCCUUGAAUACUCGGUUCAUCAUAUCCAUGAAAGCAGCAGGAGCAUUAGUUAAUCCAAAAGAUAUGACAAAGAAUUCAUAAUGCCCGUACCGAGUUCUGAAGGUAGUCUUUGGAAUAUCCUCAGUUUUAAUCUUCAGCUGAUGAUAUCCAAAACGAAUAUCGAUCUUUGAAAAGAAUUGUGCUCCUUGUAACUGAUCGAACAGGUCAUCAAUGCGAGUUAGGGCAUACCUAUUCUUGAUGGUGACAUGGUUCAAUUCUCGGUAGUUAAUACAAAGUCGCAUACUCCCGUCUUUCUUCUUUACGAAUAAAAUAGGAGUACCCCAAGGAGAUGUACUAGGACGAAUGAAACUGAUGUCUAAUAACUCCUGUAGUUAGACUUUUAACUCCUGAAGUUCAAUAGGAGCCAUUCGAUAUGGGGUUUGAGAAAUGGGUUUUAUACCCGAUUCAAGGUCAAUAAAGAAUUCAACAUCGCAUCCUGAGGGUAGACCGGGAAGUUCUUCAGGAAAUACAUCAGGAAAUUCUCUAACAACAGAAAUAUUAUCCAAAUCUGACUUGUCUUUAUUCAAAUCCAUAACAUGGGCUAAGAAAGUUUGGCAUCCGUUUUUCAAUAAAUGAAUAGCUUUGUGGCUUGAUAUGACAGUGACUGAUUUUAGUGGUUUAGUUGUUUGAAUUCGUAUGACGGGUUGGUUAGGAAUAUGAAAACUAACAACCUUACAAAAACAAUCAAUUUUGGCAUGAUGAGUGAUUAACCAAUCAAUCCCUAAAAUCACAUCAAAAGAAAUUAUCUUUAAAGAGAUAAGAUCAACAGGUAAUGUGAUAGUGCCAACUUGGAUUAAGCAAGAUUUAUAAACUGUAGAUGUAACGAAGGUUUCACCUAACGGAGUUUCAACAGAUAAGUUAAAGUCCAAUUUCUCCGAAGUCAAGUUUAAACGUUGAGCACAAGCAGGAGAGAUAAAAGAAUGGAUAGAACCGGUAUCUAGUAAGGUAUAAACUUCGCAAGAAUUCAAGAUUAGCUUACCCGUGAUCACCUCGUUCGGGUUCCUCAUGUUUUGGCCAGUCACGACAAACGCUCUUCCAGGAACCGCUGAUUUUGACUUAUCCGGGACAGCCCUUGGAGUCACCAUCCCCGCUGAACUUGGUUUUGCUACAGAACAAUCCCGAGCUAUGUGACAUUCCUUUCCAUAGUUAUAACAUACCUUGGAUUUUUGUGGACAAUUUGGGCUGAUAUGUCCCUCUUUCCCGCAUUUGUAACAUCUAACUGGCGGUCUUUCUCCUCCCCUAGAAUUUGUUGUUGGUGCUGCUGCUGCUGCUGAUGUCUUCUCGUCAUUGUUGAAUCUCCUAUUUCUGAAAUUUUCACUUGACUCACCUCUCCUAUUAUCAUGACCACAAUUACCACUCGAGUGGUUACCGUCUUUGUCCGUAUUUUUCCCUCCUCGCAGGUUAUCAUCGCUCUGACUGCUGUCACCAGUAUGACCCUGGUUGUGGUCCCUCGGUUGAGUAUACUCAUUAUCUCGCUCUAAUAAUUGAGCCAUGUUGACAACAUCUGAAUAAAGAGAAAAUUUAUGAGAGAUAAGGUAUUGAUGAAUCUUGGGUUUUAGACCUCUCAGAAACAUCCGCGUCAUAGGUUCCUCAUUCUCCACCAAAUAAGGUGAAAACCUGCAUAACUCCGCGAACUUCACCUCGUACUGAGACGCCGUCAUGUUGUUCUGUUCCAGUCUAAUAAACUCUACCUCCUUCAUAUGAUGAAUACUUUCAGGAAAAUACUUGUCAUUGAACAUUUUCUGAAAUCUUUCCCAAGACAUGUUAAGUGCGGCUGGCUAGGUAUGCUUCACAGAUUCCCACCAGUAAUCUGCCUCACCACUGAACAUAAAGGUGGCGAAUGGAACCUUGACACAAAAGUUCCAAAUUUGAUUAAAAAGUUCAAACCAAUAUUUCGGCAUAAUGAUAUUGAAGAAAAUAAUAUCAUGUAAGAAGAAAAUAACAUCCCUUACCUCAAAAUAAUGGUACUUCUAAUCGGAAUAUCGGAUAGAAAGCCGAAGGAAACUUGUACCGAACAACAACUCUCAAAGUAUCUAAAUACUCACAAAAAUACGCUCGACAAUAUAGAGAGAAAGAAAACUUAUUUUUGGUGUGAAAGAAAACUAAACCCUAAACCCUAAACCCUAGACCCUAGACCCUAAACCCUAAAUCCUAAAUCCUAAACCAUAAACCCUAAACCCUAAACCCUAGACCCUAGACCCUAAACCCUAAACCCUAGACCCUAGAUGUUAAAUCCUAGAGCCUAAACCCUAAACCCUAAGCGUCUAUUUAUAGGAAAAUGCUAGAACGUCAUAGGAGACUAAAAUAAUAAAAUAAUAAUAUUUCUUUUUAAAUCAUCUACGCCACCCACCAUUUUGAGUCAAGCAUGCCUUCUUGGACCAAAAUCAGCAGCCCAUGUGUAUUCAACACCAACCAAAAUGUGGGUCCCACCCAUAAUUUAAUAAAUAUCAUUUUAUUUUUUGAAACUUCAGUAAUGCAUAGAAAAUAGCCCAUUUAUCAGAAAAAUACGAAUUUUAUGUCCAUUCCACACGAAAUUGAAUUCUCUACAACUUAGUGGCUUUAAGUUUUUCCAAAGUCCAAACAUAAAAUAUCCAAAACCCUCAGCAUUAAUUCCUUCAUUUAUAACCACAUAAAUAAAUAAAUCCAUCAUUUAUAUCCACAUCAAAUAAAUAUUUCCUUAUCAUAUAAAUCAAUAAUUAAUUAUUCACAAAUAAUAUUACUGAAUCACAAUUAUGACAACCAGGCAGUUCCCAGGAAAGAGGGGGCUUUCCAAUAAGGAUUUCUCCUUACUGGCGUUCAAUUAGGUGACCAAACCUCUCCUUAACAGAACUUUCUAGACAUUGCCAAUAAUGCUAAUUAAUAAUAUUAUUCAAAUAAUAUUAAUUAUUGAUCUGAUAAUGGGAAAUAUUGUGCAGUGACAAUUAUUGAAACAACAAUAAUAUAAACUAUCAACGCAACAAUUAUUGAAUCAAUAAAAUAAAAUAUUGAACAGUAACUACUGUAACAAUUAUUGAGUAGUGCCUUCUUACGUACGAAUAAAUAAUUCAACAAUACUGUGCAAUACCGUGUGCUACUGUGCAACCACGCAUAUUACUGUAUUUUAACCACCAGGUAUUCCAACAGUGUUAACAGUAACAACUACGCCGUUAUUUAUUAAACUCAUACUUUGUCGUUUUCCUUCAUCCAACUUUUUUCGUUAUGUGGCCCACAAAUGGUUGCACCGUCGUACGAAUAUUCCACGACAAAAAGAAUAUUCCACGACCAAACGAAUAUUCCCCGACAGAAAUGAAUAUUUUAUAACCACUUGCUUAUUUUGCAAAAUUUUCAUAUUUCACCCAUAACCAAAGCAUUAUAUCAAAUUAACACCUUAUUAAUUUAGAAUAAUGAAUAUAGGAAAAUUUCAAUUUUAUUUAUAAUAAGUUAGGGUCUUUCAACCUCCCCUCCUUAUAAAAUUUCGUCCUCGAAAUUAACGUACGUACAUGGUGUUUCAAAAAGGUGAGGGUACCUCGCUUUCAUUUUUGAUUUCAACUCCCAGAUCAUUUUCUCAAUAGCAUGGUUCCUCCACAAAACCUUAACUUGUGGUAUAACCUUUGUGCAUAGGACAUGCUUUUUUCUAUCCAAGAUCUUAACAAGUACCUCCUCGUAUAUUAAAUCUUCGACUAUCUCAUCUGGUUCCAACUCAAUAAUAUGGUUCGAGUCUUUCACAUAUUUACGAAUCAUAGAUAUGUGAAAAACAUUAUGAACACGAGAUAUGUUUGGAGGUAAUGCGAUUCUAUAGGCCACAUUUCCUAUUCGGUCGAGAAUCUCAAAUGGACCAACAAAUCAUGGAUUGAGCUUUCCUCUCUUCCUAAAUUUUGUAACUCCCUUCCAUGAAGCAACACGUAACAAUACAUGAUCCCCAAUAUUAAAUUCUACAUCCUUUCGAUGAAGGUCAACAUAACUCUUUUAUCGAUCUUGUGAGGUUUAAAUACGUUGUCGAAUCAUUUAGAUCUUUUCUGUAGUCAUGCGUACUAAUUCUGGUCCCUACAACGUUGCUUCUCCCACCUCGUCCCAACAUACUAGAGAGCGACACUUUCGUCCAUACAAUGCCUCGAAUGGAACCAUUCCUAUAUUUGCUUGAUAACUGUUGUUGUAGGAGAAUUCCACCAGUGGCAAGUACUUAUCCCAACUUCCUUUGAAAUCUAGGACACAGAGUCUUAAUAGAUCUUCAAGGGUUUGAAUAGUCCUUUUCGAUUGCCCGUCCAUUUGAGGAUGGUAUGCUGAACUGAAUCGUAAAUUUGUGCAAAUAGCUUUCUGCAAGCUAACCCAAAAUCUUGAAGUGAAUCUUGGGUCACGAUCCGAAACUAUGGAUACUAGCAUGCCAUGCAAUCUCACAAUCUCAUUCACGUACAUACGAGCAAGACGUUCAAGGGAAUAAGUCUCACGUAUCAGCAAGAAAUGAGCAGACUUGGUUAAUCUAUCAAUAAUAACCCAAAUCGCAUCUAAGCCUUGAGAAACUUUGGGAAGACCUGUAACGAAAUCCAUGGUAAUGUGUUCCCACUUCCAUUUCGAAUUCUCAAGUGGUUGCAAUGGACCCUUUGGCACUUGAUGCUCCACCUUUACACGUUCACAGGUUAAACACCUCGAGAUAAACUCCGUGAUCUCUCUCUUCAUAUUGUUCCACCAAAAUGUAUGUCGAAGAUCAUGAUACAUUUUGGUAGUCCCAGGAUGGAUUGCAAACGGGGUGUUGUGUGCCUCCAUCAUGAUUCUAUGCUUCAAGUCAGAAUUGUUAAGAACGCAAAGUCUAGAGUUGACUCGAAGUAUUCCUUCUUCAUCGAUUCUUUCUUCCGGAAUAGGACUUUCUUGCACUUUCUUCUUCAUACGCAUCAGCCCCAGUUCCGUAGCUUGAGCAACUUUAACUUUAUCGAUUAAAGUCGGUUCUACUCGUAUAUUCCCCAUCAUCACGUGGGUCCCUGGAGUCUUUAACUCUAUCUGCAUCCUUUGCAAAUCAUACAAAAUGGGCCUUUGCGUUGACAAUAUCGCACUCGUACUUGCACAUGAUCUUCUACUCAAUGCGUCAGCUACUACGUUUGCUUUUCCAGGAUGAUAUUGAAUAGUGUGAUCAUAAUCUUUGAACAGCUCAAGCCAACAUCGUUGUCGCAUAUUGAGUUCUUUUUAGGUGAAAAUAUUUGAGGCUUUUAUGGUCCGUAUAAAUCUCCACAUUCUUCACAUACAAGUAGUGUCUCCAUAUCUUCAACGCGAAAACGACUGCUGCCAACUCAAGAUCAUGAGUAGGAUAAUUCCUCUCAUAUUCUUUGAGUUGUCACAAGGCAUAGGCUAUGAUUUUCCCAUGUUGCAUGAGAACACAUUCUAACCCUUUGCCUGAAGCAUCGCUAUAGAUAACAAAUCCAUCCGAACCAGAUGGUAUUGCCAGAACAGGUGCCAAAAUGAGUCUCCUCUUGAGCUCUUGGAAAAUCCUCUCGCAUUCUUCGCUCCAUACGAAUUUUGUAUCUUUCUGAGUCAGCUGAGUUAACGGAGUAGCGAUUUGAGAAAAUCCUUUCACGAAUCUCCGAUAAUAACCAGCUUAAGCCCAGAAAGCUGCGUACUUCGAUCACCGACUUCGAUUGCUCCUAACUUUGUAUUCCUUCAAUCUUCGCUGGGUCAAUAGAUACUCUAUGUUUUGACACCACGUGCCCAAGGAAUGCUACUUCCUCAAGCCAGAACUCGCAUUUCUUCAGCUUGGUAUAUAGCUUGUUUUUACGAAGCCUUUCAAGUAUCAGCUUCAAAUGGUGCUCAUGAUCUUCACGACUUUUGGAAUAGAUGAGGAUGUCAUCAAUAAAGACAACAACGAACUGAUCCAAAUAUUCCUUGAAUACUCAGUUCAUCAUAUCCAUGAAAGCAGCAGGAGCAUUAGUUAAUCCAAAAGACAUGACUAAGAAUUCACAAUGCCCGUACCGAGUUCUGAAGGCAGUCUUUGGAAUAUCCUCAGUUUUAAUCUUCAGCUGAUGAUAUCCAGAACGAAGAUCGAUCUUAGAAAAUAAUUUUUCUCCUUGUAACUGAUCGAACAGGUCAUCAAUGCGAGGUAGGGGAUACCUAUUCUUGAUGGUGACAUGGUUCAAUUCUCGGUAGUUAAUACAAAGUCGCAUACUCCCGUCUUUCUUCUUUACGAAUAAAACAGGAGUACCCCAAGGAGAUGUACUAGGACGAAUGAAAUCGAUGUCUAAUAACUCCUAUUGUUGGACUUUUAACUCCUGAAGUUCAAUAGGAGCCAUUCGAUAUGGGGUUUUAGAAAUGGGUUUUAUACGCGGUUCAAGGUCAAUAAAGAAUUCAACAUCGCGUUCUGAGGGUUGACCAGGAAGUUCUUCAGGAAAUACAUCAGGAAAUUCUCUAACAACAGAAAUAUUAUCCAAAUCUGACUUGUCUUUAUUCAAAUCCAUAACAUGGGCUAAGAAAACUUGGCAUCCAUUUUUCAAUAAACGAAUAGCUCUGUGGCUUGAUAUGACAGUGACUGAUUUUAGUGGUUUGGUUGUUUGAAUUCGUAUGACGGGUACGUUAGGAAUAUGAAAACUAACAACCUUACCAAAACAAUCAAUUUUGGCAUGAUGAGUGAUUAACCAAUCAAUCCCUAAAAUCACAUCAAAAGCAAUUAUCUUUAAAGAGAUAAGAUCAACAGGUAAUGUGAUAGUGCCAACUUGGAUUAAGCAAGAUUUAUAAACUGUAGAUGUAACGAAGGUUUCACCUAACGGAGUUUCAACAGAUAAGUUAAAGUCCAAUUUCUCCGAAGUCAAGUUUAAACGUUGAGCACAAGCAGGAGAGAUAAAAGAAUGGGUAGAACCGGUAUCUAGUAAGGUAUAAACUUCGCAAGAAUUCAAUAUUAGCUUACCCGUGAUCACCUCGUUCGGGUUCCUCACGUUUUAGCCAGUCACGACAAACGCUCUUCCAAGAACCGCUGAUUUCGACUUAUCCGGGACAGCCCUUGGAGUCACCAUCCCCGCUGAACUUGGUUUUGCUACAGAACAAUCCUGAGCUAUGUGACAUUCCUUUCCACAAUUAUAACAUACCUUGGAUUUUUGUGGACAAUUUUGGCUGAUAUGUCCCUCUUUCCCGCAUUUGUAACAUCUAACUGGCGGUCGUUCUCCUCCCCUAGAAUUUGUUGUUGGUGCUGGUGCUGCUGCUGAUGUCUUCCCGUCAUUGUUGAAUCUCCUAUUUCUGAAAUUUCCACUUGACUCACCUCUUCUAUUAUCAUAACCACAAUUACCACUCGAGUGGUUACCGUCUUUGUCCGUAUAUUUUCCUCCUCGCAGGUUAUCAUCGCUCUGACUGCUGUCACCGGUAUGACCCUGGUUGUGGUCCCUCGGUUGAGUAUACUCAUUAUCUCACUCUAAUAAUUGAGUCCUGUUGACAACAUCUGAAUACAGAGAAAAUUUAUGAGAGAUAAGGUAUUGAUGAAUCUCGGGUUUAAAACCUCUCAGAAACAUUCACGUCAUACGUUCCUCAUUCUCCACCAAAUGAGGUGAAAACCUGCAUAACUCCGCGAACUUCACCUCGUAUUGAGACACCGUCAUGUUGUUCUGUUCCAGUCUAAUAAACUCUACCUCCUUCAUAUGAUGAAUACUUUCAGGAAAGUACUUGUCAUUGAACAUUUUCUGAAAUCUUUCCCACGACAUGUUAAGUGCGGCUGGCUGGGUACGCUUCACAGACUCUCACCAGUAAUCUGCCACACCACGAAACAUAAAGGUGGCGAAUGGAACUUUCUAUUCCUCCGUGCAUCCCAAGACAUCGAAUAUCUUGGUAAUUUGCUUGACCCACGUUUCCGCCUUAAUCGAAUCGGCCUUUCCCCAGAAAUAUGGUGGUCCCAACUCCUUGAACUGCUUGGCUGUGACAGACCGCGCGUUACUAUCACUUCCACCCGUAUUUUGUACACGAGUCUCCCUCGUCUGAUUUUGCAUUAACCGCAAAAAGCUCCUAAACAUUCCAUCAUUCAUCGUUUGCUCGGUAGUGUUGUUUAUAGGAGGAAUAUUGUCUUUCUGUUGCACGUUCUCCUGGUUUGUGACUAAAGGUUGUUCCACAGUCUCAUACACUCCAUUGUUAACAUUCUCAGCAGACAUUCUUAAAUACUGCCAUAAAACAAGGGUAAUUAAACAAAUUAACAUAUCACAUAAUAUCCCUUUAUUAUGACCGACCAAUAAAUAAGCUUAGAUAGGAUACACUAGCAAAGGAUUUACUCAUCUCUCCCCUCCUAGUUCUAUUCCUCGAUAUCCGCCAGAGACCAUAUCCCUAAGCUUUGAUACCAACUGUGACGCCCCCAAAAUAGGUAUACAACACCCAUUCUGAGUCGCCAAAUACAUGGUACAGAAAACAAACUACAACUUCAAUAAUACAAUUGUCGUGCAAAAUACGACAACACAUACUGUGAGUUUAAAUACAAAUAUUGUCUUCUAGACAAUAUCCACACUCAAAUAAGUCCUCAUUACAAUUAUUCAAACACUAUUUUACAGAAAUAGUGAGGACUGCUAAAACAUCUUUCUAGAACCAUCACUCCAUACCCCGACUAGAUCCUGCUAUGUUCUCACCUCCUGAGAAGAAAAAUGGAACAAAAAGGAAAAGGGUGAGCUCAACUAGCCCAGUAAAGAAUAUUAUGACUAAGAUAAUAUACAACAAAUUAUCAUUAGUCUUCAACAGGGAAAAAUCUGAUAAAAUAUAAUAGACAACAAGUUUUAGAUCAACAACUGCAGCGGAAACAACAAUCCAUUAGAAGAGUCAAGUAGAGAAUGAAUUCUACUAUCUUCUAAGAUUUAAAAGUUCAUCAUCAAUAUUUUAUCCCUGUAACAACAAUCAAUAUACAUCUUUAAUCAAAUAUUCAUAUUUACACUACAGGCCAAAGAUAUUCAUCUGUAUCACCAGUUGGUCAUGUUCAUCUCAACACUUGUUCAUCUUUGCACUACGGGCCAAAGAUAUUCAUUAGUUAAUCAUUCAUCUUUGCACUACAGGCCAAAGAUAUUCAGUAAUAUCAUCAUUUAAGACUGAGGAUGAUGAAAAUAAUUUAAAAAAAACGAAUCCAGUGAGACAGAAGGACGAAUAUUAGGGAUUCGUAUUACAGUUUAUCCAAGAUCAAUAAUACUCCAUAAUAACCAAUUUUGAAGUAGAAUUCAAAAAUAAAGAUCAAAAUAUGGAUACAAUCAAAGAUUGUAACCAUAAUAGACAUAUUGGACAAAAAGAAAAAAUUUUAUUUUUCGGUGAAUAGUACCGUAUUUGUGAAUAGUGUCGUAUACGUGAAUAGUAAUCCCGACAAAAAAGUUUCAAAUUUGAUUAAAAAGUUCAAACCAAUAUUUCAGCAUAAUGAUAUUGAAGAAAAUAAUAUCAUUUAAGAAGAAGAUAACAUUCCUUACCUCAAAAUAACGGUACUUCUGAUCGGAAUAUCGGAUAAAAAGUCGAAGGAAACUUGUACCGAACAACAACUCUCAAAGUAUCUAAAUACUCACAAAAAUACGUUCGACAAUAUAGAGAGAAAGAAAAUUUGUUUCUGGUGAGAUUUUCAAUUCUAACCUAAGCGUCUAUUUAUAGAAAAAUACUAGAACGUCAUAGGAGACUAAAAUAAUAAAAUAAUAAUAUUUCUUUUUAAAUCAUCUACGCCACCCACCAUUUUGAGUUAAGCAUGCCUUCUUGGACAAAAAUCAACAGCCCAUGUGUAUUCAACACCAACCAAAAAGUGGAUCCCACCCAUAAUUUAAUAAAAAUUAUUUUAUUUUUCGAAACUUCAGUAAUUCAUAGAAAAUAGCCCGUUUAUCAGAAAAAUACGAAUUUUAUGUCCAUUCCACACGAAAUCGAAUUCUCUACAACUUUGUAGAUUUGAGUUUUUCCAAAUUCCAAACAUAAAAUAUCCAAAACCCACAAACAGGUGAUUUUUAAUACCUCUACUCUGACAAAAUACUGAUAAAAUACCUCAUCAUUAAUUCAUUCAUUUAUAACCACAUAAAUAAAUAAAUCAAUCAUUUAUAUCCACAUCAAAUAAAUAUUUUCUUAUUAUAUAAAUUAAUAAUUAAUUAUUCAUAAAUAAUAUUACAGAAUCACAAUUAUGACAACCAGACAGUUUCCAGGAAAGAGGGGGCUUUCCAAUAAGGAUUUCUCCUUACUAGCGCGCAAUUAGGUGACCAAACCUCUCCUUGACAGAACUUUCUAGACAUUGCCAAUAAUGUUAUCUAAUAAUAUUAUUCAAAUAAUAUGAAUUAUUAAUCUGAUAAUGGAAAAUACUGUGCAUUGACAAUUAUUGAAAUAACAAUAAUAUAAACUAUCAACGCAGCAAUUAUUGAAUCAAUAAAAUAAAAUAUUGAACAGUAACUACUGUAACAAUUAUUGAGUUGUGCCUUCUUACGUACAAAUCAAUAAUUCAACAAUACUGUGCAAUACCGUGUGCUACUGUGCAACCACGCAUAUUACUAUAUUUUAACCACCAGGUAUUCCAACAGUGUUAACGGUAACAACUACGUUGUUAUUUAUAAAACUCAUACUUUGUCGUUUUCUUUCAUCCAACCGUUUUCCGUUAUGGAGCCCACAAAUGGCUGCGCCGUCAUACGAAUAUUCUCCGACAAAAAGAAUAUUCCACGACCAAACGAAUAUUCCCCGACAAAAAUGAUUAUUUUAUAACCACUUGCUUAUUUUGCAAAAUUUGCACAUUUCACCCAUAACCAAAGCAUUAUAUCAAAUUAACACCUUAUUAAUUUAGAAUAAUGAAUAGAGGAAAAUUUCAAUUUUAUUUAUAAUAAGUUGAGUCUUACAAAAAUCCUUGAAUAACAAUAAAAUCCACAAAUUUAGUUUGGAAAUUGGUGACUGCCUUACCCAUCUGUUUGAAUGGACCGUCUAGUAAGCAUGUACACUCCACUGAACACAUUAUGAUGAUUAGGUGUGUUAGGUACAAUCCCAUACAAUUGCAGUUCUUAUGAGUUAUGAUCUAGUAGUAGGCUUUGACCAAGUCUAAAUCUAGUCUAGUCACACUAAGAACCUUGCAGCAAACAAAUUUCUGUCUCACGGAAUAAAAGGCAUGUGAAGGCACCAAGAAUGACUUCUAGAGCGAAGAAAUUGUUCAAUCAAAAGAAAAACAAAGUGUGAACUAGAAAUCCUCAUUUGGUCUGGAAAGGAGCCUUUUUUUUAAAUAGACAAUUAAUAGACAUCAGGGAGUAACAUGAACCUGCUUGUUUGCAAAAAUAAGAACAACACCACCUCUUAACUCUUCCUCCUGACAAUAAAGCAUAAAGAUAUUUAAUUCAAAUUCAGAACACACAUUUCAGGUUAAGUUCAAGUAUAUUUAAAGAUAAAAUCUUCCAGAUUAACUGGUUCUGGUCAAAUACCCAAACAAAUUAACUAUAACUUUAGAUAGUGGUACAACAGAAGUUAACGACACAGAAACCAAUACUCUUUCCUUCUUUUUAUUUUGACAAGUUUAUAUUCAAAAGGGCACCAAGAGGGUGCUACCCAUAUUCAAACGAAGUCGCAAUAAAACAGGGUAAAACCUGCGCCACCGAAGCACAAAACCUACAUCAUGUCCUGUGGCUAAAUCCGACAAGUCAACAAAUGCUUUACUCAAACCAAGCAACACCUUAUUCUGCCAAAAAGAACAACUUUUUGAUAUGCACAAUAAACUGGUCUAUUUUAUCUAAAUAUCUAUAAUCUAGAAAUAUCACUAAAAGAUCUAGAUUAUGCUAUCAAAAUUCUUUAGAAAAAUUACUUACCCUUUGUACAGCGGUUUUGGCACGGAGCAAGUUCUCUGGUUUAACUCAUACAGGGGGAGGUAAGCACAAGCUUUAUGCCAUUGAAAAACCUACACUAAAAUCUCAAGAGCUCAAUAAUAUGAAACAGAUUUAAAGCUUUCGAGUUUGAUCUAAACCAAUAGAUGAAAAACCACUAUACAAAUCAUACCCAAAGCGAGACGAAUUUAAAUCUGACGAAGGGGAUAUUCAAAACCACUAUGCAAAUCUAACCCAUAGCCAGACGGCGAGAGAGCUAGGUUAGGGAUACUGAGGAAGAUGAGUUUGGGGAGAAGAGAAUGUGUUUUAUUUUGCUGGGAGAGUUCUUUUAGGUGGGUAUCGGCAUAAAAGUCUCUCUAGUUUCAUUUAUCA